AUGAGAGAAGGGAUGAUGAAGCCCCCCUCCCCCAGCUUAGAAGCUAUUGUUAAUGGAUGGCUGCUAGAGUAAGGAUGGUCAAUUUUGUUCAUAGAAGCAACCCAAGAGAGGCUACCCAUGCUCCAGUAGAUACACCAAGUACUACAGACUACAGGAAGUGAAUCAAUGGGUUUAAAAAGAGAACACGUGAACAUGACUGAAGAGGAGUAAAUAAAAGAUCAAAUGCUAGAAGCCAGGCAGAACAACAUUCGCCAUCGCUUAUAACAAGGACCUCUUACUGUUAUACACAUGAGAGAAGAUUGUAUCGCAUUUACAUGACUCUCCUGAUUUAUGGACUGGGAUAAAUAUAUUAUACCAUUUAGUUCUGGCAGUCUUCAGAAAAAGUGAUUGCUAAGGCUUGGUGAUGGGGAGGGAAGCUAUCUGCUACAAGUCUACAGACAUGGAAAGUAUUAAGUCCUCUACACACGAAUAUUCUCUGAUGUGAUUACCCGGUCUUCUAUACCGUGGGUGGCAAGAGGCCAAAGGAACGUGAGCUUGACUUGACCUUUUGAUAAGGUGGAUUGUGCCAUUUUGCAGUCAAAGAGGAAGAAGAACAAGCUAGCUCCAGAAAGCAAGUAAUUUGUGAAUCAAGAGAACAGAGAAAGAGCAAAGUGCUAAUUAGGAAGGACCUCAGUAAAGGAAUCAACUCCCCUGAUAAAAGGAUCCUUCUGUUUUCGUUAACAACUAUUGGCAGCAAGGUAAUGCAAUAGCCAAGCUCAGAUUUUAGAGACUUGCUUGUCUGACUCUAUAAUGUGCCACUGUCUCACUUGGCCACAGGGGUCCAGCGCCCUUACAAAAUGAAAGCAAAUUUCUCCUGGAAGGGAGCCAACUGGCAGCUGACAGAGUAGGAUUUUUGUUGAGUUGCAGCCAAAAGUUCAACUUGGAAAUAUGAGACCAGACCGUAUACAGACCAGUAGGUGGACUUUGGUGAGCAAAAAGGCAACACAUGGCCUACUCUAUAUGAAGAUUAUUGAAACAUUGGACAAAAAUCUGUAUUCAAGUUCUGACCGGACUGAUGUGAAACACUUCCUUGGUCGAUAAGAGGUAAAUCAUUGCACUUUUAUAAAAAAUAAUGAUAUAGAAUAAAGUGAUAGUGGUUGAAAAUAAAUGAAGGGAGAAAUAUGUACAGCUACUAGGUGAAUCACAGAGACAUAUUGAAAUAAGCCAGGAGCAUCUGCUGGUACAAGAACG